ACUUUUUGACAUUGGGCGCCAGCGUGAUCCAGUCAUGCCGCGUGAGUGAAGAAGGCCUUCGGGUUGUAUGGCUCUUUCGGACGGUCCGAAAGCGCGCGGGCGAAUACCCUGCGCGGAUGACGGUACCGUCACACGAGUCACCGGCCAACUGCGUUCCAGCAGCCGCGGUAAAGCGUAGGGUGCGAGCGUUAAUCGGAAUUACUGGGCGUAAAGCGGGCGAAGGCGGUUGAAUGAGACAGGCGUGAAAUACCCGGGCUUAACCUGGGACGUGCGCUUGUGACUGGUCAGCUAGAGUACGGCAGAGGGGGGUGGAAUUCCACGUGUAGCAGUGAAAUGCGUAGAGAUGUGGAGGAACACCGAUGGCGAAGGCAGCCCCCUGGGCCGAUACAGACGCUCAUGCACGAAAGCGUGGGUAGCAAACAGG
rnacentral:rRNA from 1 species